rnacentral:rRNA from 1 species
CCUACGGGAGGCAGCAGUAAGGAACUUCGGCAAUGGGGGAAACCUUGACCGAGCAACGCCGCGUGAGUGAUGAAGGUCUUCGGAUCGUAAAGCUCUGUGGUAAAGGAAGAAUACCAUGGAUAGGAAAUGAUUCAUGGCUGACGGUACUUUACUAGAAAGUCACGGCUUACUACGUGCCAGCAGCCGCGGUAAU